UUGCGGGGUAGAGAAGUGGUCAUCUCGUCGGUCUCAUAAGCCGGAGAACGCUGGUUCGAAUCCAGCCCCACGCA
rnacentral:tRNA from 3 species